GAUGAAGAACGUAGCGAAAUGCGAUAAGUAAUGCGAAUUGCAGAAUCCGUGAGUCAUCGAAUCUUUGAACGCACAUUGCGCCCUCUGGUAUUCCGGAGGGCAUGCCUGUUCGAGCGUCAUUAUCACCCCUCAAGCCCGGCUUGUUGUUGGAUGCAGCGCUUAUCCCGCUCCUCCCAAAGAUAAUGACGGCGUCUGCGACGACUCCUGUACACUGAGCUUUCGGGCACGUACACGGCUAGAAGUCCAGACCCGGUCGCCGUCCCCCCCGCGGGGACACCCAUUACCACAAGGUUGACCUCGGAUCAGGUAGGAAUACCCGCUGAACUUAAGCAUAUCAAUAAGCGGAAGA
rnacentral:misc_RNA from 1 species